rnacentral:lncRNA from 1 species
ACUGUGUAACGGAGCAAGGUGGAUGCUGGAAUGAGCUGGAGAGAAUGAGCGGCCUUGUGUGGUGAGCCGGUUCCUGAGCAGCGUUGCGUGAUUUCCACAGUGGAAGGAGGCAGGGGCUGUGAGUGAGAUCAAGGACCACUGCGGUUGAAGAACAGCAACUGCUAUGAACUUGACUGAACGUGUGCAGACAGAGAGCAGAAGAUGAGGAAACCAAGAUGCUUAAUAUGAAUAAAUGUCCUUCAAAGCAAGAAGAUAGACAGGCAUUUUACUGCGGUGGUCUUUAUUUCACUUUUUUUUUUUUUUUUUUUAAUAAUCAGGAAUCCCA